GAUGAACGCUAGCGAUAGGCUUAACACAUGCAAGUCGAGGGGCAGCAUGGUCUUAGCUUGCUAAGACUGAUGGCGACCGGCGCACGGGUGCGUAACGCGUAUGCAACUUGCCUCACAGAGGGGGAUAACCCGUCGAAAGACGGACUAAUACCGCGUACACUCGGGAUAGGGCAUCCUGACCCAAGGAAAUGAAAUUCGCUGUGAGAUAGGCAUGCGUCCCAUUAGCUAGUUGGUGAGGUAACGGCUCACCAAGGCGACGAUGGGUAGGGGAACUGAGAGGUUGAACCCCCACACUGGUACUGAGACACGGACCAGACUCCUACGGGAGGCAGCAGUGAGGAAUAUUGAUCAAUGGGCGAGAGCCUGAACCAGCCAAGUCGCGUGAAGGAUGACUGUCUUAUGGAUUGUAAACUUCUUUUAUACGGGAAUAACAAGAGCCACGUGUGGCUCCCUGCAUGUACCGUAUGAAUAAGCAUCGGCUAACUCCGUG
rnacentral:rRNA from 1 species